rnacentral:miRNA from 1 species
GCGCGCGCGCGCGCGUGUGUGUGUGUGUGUGUGUGUGUGUGCGUGCGCGUGCGCGUAUACCCACAC